UUUCAGAAAUGGCAAAGUGCCAAUGAAAUAAUGAGGGCGUAGCAUUUAUUUCGGAACUGUUGAGUGCUGGGGUAUUUUGGCCUGAGUUUUCUUGUUGCCUUAAAUAAAUGUGAAGAAAUCAUUUUGAUGGUAUUCUAGUGCCAAGUGAUUCUUUUCAAUUUCUAUAAAUUUUUUUUUUUGUCAGUUUCAUAGUUUAUUCUUUUUAGAUAGUGAUUGUGCUUCGGAGAUCUUCAUUGAUGGGUGCAGAGAGUAAAGAUUAGAUUCAUACGACGGAGUUUUCUUUGGCUAAGUAGCCUUACUCACACGAAUUUUGGAAAUUCUUGGACAUUAAUUUGAUUCUCAUUCCUUUUAGCUCUAUAUAAAAUUUACUUAGUUUUAUGAUUCUUGAGAUGUACGCUCUGUCCUGAUUGAAUGAUUAAGAUCAUAACUUGGUUCUAUUUUAUUCUAUUGUAGGUUUGUGGGCCACACUAAGGACAUGCUUUCGGUGGCCUUCUCCAUCGAAAAUUGACAGAUUGUAUUAGUAUCUCGUGACUACACGAUCAAGCU